rnacentral:snoRNA from 1 species
AUCGCUUCAUGAGGAGGUCCAUGCUUCCGGAAUAGACUCAUCCCUCGUCUGCUGGAAACUUGAAAUCCUUCCACGAAGGGU